UACGUAGGGUGCAAGCGUUGUCCGGAAUUAUUGGGCGUAAAGAGCUCGUAGGCGGUUUGUCGCGUCGGGAGUGAAACUCAGGGCUUAACCCUGAGCCUGCUUCCGAUACGGGCAGACUAGAGGUAUGCAGGGGAGAACGGAAUUCCUGGUGUAGCGGUGAAAUGCGCAGAUAUCAGGAAGAACACCCGUGGCUAAGGCGGCUCUCUAGUACGGUACUGACGCUGAGACGCGAAAGCGUGGGGAGCGAACAGG
rnacentral:rRNA from 1 species